rnacentral:rRNA from 1 species
GACGAACGCUGGCGGCGUGCUUAACACAUGCAAGUCGAACGGAAAGGCCCUGCUCUUGUGGGGUGCUCGAGUGGCGAACGGGUGAGUAACACGUGAGUAACCUGCCCUUGACUUUGGGAUAACUUCAGGAAACUGGGGCUAAUACCGGAUAGGAGCUCCUGCUGCAUGGUGGGGGUUGGAAAGUUUCGGCGGUGGGGGAUGGACUCGCGGCUUAUCGGCUUGUUGGUGGGGUAGUGGCUUACCAAGGCUUUGACGGGUAGCCGGCCUGAGAGGGUGACCGGCCACAUUGGGACUGAGAUACGGCCCAGACUCCUACGGGAGGCAGCAGUGGGGAAUAUUGCACAAUGGGCGGAAGCCUGAUGCAGCAACGCCGCGUGCGGGAUGACGGCCUUCGGGUUGUAAACCGCUUUCGCCUGUGACGAAGCGUGAGUGACGGUAAUGGGUAAAGAAGCACCGGCUAACUACGUG